AUGACCCCCUCCCCAUUGUUACUGUCUUCUCUGUGCCCCAGAGGAGAUGCCAGAAACUACACUGCUUAGAAUCACCUUCCCCAUAUGGCUCCUGGCUAGGGUUUGUGGUGCUCUCAAGAGAUGUGAAAGGUGAAAGACAAAGAGAUCUUCAUUCUUUGGCAGCCAUGUUGUAGGGAGAUCAAACAGCAAAAGAGCAGAAGCGCUUUGGAAGCACUUCUGGAAAUCAUCAGCAAUAGCGUCUGAAGAUAUAAUGGAAGAAAAUGAAGAUGUAUAGAAAAGCAAUUAUGUGUGUUCACAAAAGUGAAGGAUCUUUGUGGUACAGUGGAAAGAACAUCAGAGAAUAUAGACGCUUGUUUGUGUUCUGUCACUAGCCAGAUGCCCCUAGAAAUAUUUUUGAACAGUCUUUAAGUUCUGCAUUUUAAAUUGGAAACGUUUCACUCUAAAAAAAGGCUAUGGAACAUGAGAAAUUGCUGUACAGUAAGUAUCCACCUUGCUAUAAUUCCCUUGGCUAAGGUACAAAUCCUGUUCUCUUGUAGAGUGCGUGGGCUCACAUCUCGACAAUGCCAGGAGACUUCUGGAACCUGAGGGGCGUUCCUGGAGGCAAAGCCCAGAGAAUUGCAGGGGUCCACUAAGACCGCAGCCCCGGGAGCCUCUGACACCAGCCCUCACUAGUCCUCCAACAGUUUGUCAAAAUUGCCACUUAAGUGUCCUCACUAUUGUUGGAUCCAGCGGCCUCUGCUCCAGGGACCUGCAUUCGAAGCUCUUUGGAUAUUGAGGCUGGACCUAGAAGACUAUCAUGCCCUCCCUUAAAAACGAACAGUGUGGUAAAGUGCAUUCUCAAAGGAAAGUAAAUAUAUUGGUCCCUCCACCUCACUGAGUGUUGAUAUCUUGUUUUAUUGUAAUUUUAUGUUAAAACAGAAACAGAAAUUUAGACCUAAAUUGCAUGGGUGUACAGCUCCUAACCAGCUAUGGAAAUACGGUGCAUUUGUAAAUUAAAUUAAAAUUCCUGCAAAUAUUCUAAAACUUUAACCAACACUA